GCGGAAACACAGACCACUGCGGUCAACCGA
rnacentral:sRNA from 1 species